rnacentral:rRNA from 1 species
AUUGAACGCUGGCGGCAGGCUUAACACAUGCAAGUCGAACGAGUGGCGGACGGGUGAGUAAUGCUUGGGAAUCUGGCUUAUGGAGGGGGAUAACGACGGGAAACUGUCGCUAAUAACGCAUACUGAUGGAUGGACCCGCGUUGCAUUAGCUAGUUGGUUAGGUAACGGCUCACAAAGGCCACGAUGCAUAGCCGACCUGAGAGUGUGUUCGGCCACCCGUGGACUGAGACACGGCCCAGACUCCUACGGGAGGCAGCAGUAGGGAAUAUUGCACAAUGGGCGCAAGCCUGAUGCAGCCAUGCCGCGUGUAUGAAGAAGGCCUUGGGGUUGUAAAGUACUUUCAGCGGGGAGGCGUUACCCGCAGAAGAAGCACCGGCUAACUCCGUGCCAGCCGCCGCGGUAAUUC